UCGUGAGUCGCUGCAGCAUCUGGCCGCAGUGACGAGCUUCGCAGCGCUCAGGAUGAGCGGGGCGGAGUUUCAUCAGAAAAAGGAA
rfam:Pseudomonas resinovorans NBRC 106553 DNA, complete geonome.